rnacentral:lncRNA from 1 species
UUUUCUAACGCCACUUUUGUGGUAUUUUACCUUCAUUUGGUUCUACAAAUAAAAAACCAAUUACAGUAUAAAAUCUAAUAAAAAAAUUAAACCAAAAUUAUGCUCCGAAUACAAUAUAUAAGGAGGUAGAACUUGCAGAGCAAUUAAGAGCUGAUCAGCCUCGUAGUAACAAGGUUGUUUGGUCAUUCAUCUCCUUGCACGUGCUUAUUGUUCACCUUCACCAUCCACGUUCCCAACUAAAUCCUGACCAGAUUGUUUAUGAGAAAUUGAAAUUUUAUGACGCGAGUGCAAUAGUGCCAAUAGAAAAAAUGUAAAGAAUAAGCAGAUGUUGGAUGAUCAGACAUGAUCACUACGGGAAUUUAUGAUUUUGGUAUUAAGGGCAUUGAUUGGUUGUAGGAUGGAGAAUGGCGUGUUUGGUUACAUAAUCUUUGAUCAAGUGCGUCCACCGCCUUAGCCAUUUACCCAUCAACACAAGGAAGCAAUGACUCUUCUCUUGGAGCGGGCGCUGCCUUUGUAAAGACUUUU